rnacentral:misc_RNA from 1 species
UUAUGGGCAGUGUGUGGGUGUCACUGCACUGCACGUCGGCAGCACACUGCGCCCCUCCUCCUCCUCCUCCUCCAGCGCUUCCCUUUGAUCGGGUAUCCACACACACACACACACGCAAACGUGUAGGCGAGGCAAGCGCGCACACACGUCAUGCUUUGCGGAUCCUGGACGCUGCACCGAUGUGCGUGUGCACCGGCUCUCGCGACAAGGGGCGCACUGAACACGGCAGUCUCAUGGACAUCGUCUCACACCCUUGCCUUUUCUGCCUCCCUGCGGUGGUGUAGUAGUACGGCCAGGAGCACUAGCAAUACAGCGCGUUGCACGGGCAGCGCUGACGCCGAGAACGCCUCCUCGGCGAGUGCAUCGGCGCCGAACCCCUCUACAGCAGGGACGACCGCACCCAAGCGUCGAGUACAGAUAGCGGUGGUGGGCAGCGGGCCCAGCGGCUGUUUCGUAGCCAGCCACCUUGUCAAGAAGCACCUCGAGCUGCACGUGGACAUCUUUGAGCGGCUGCCAGUGCCGUUUGGUCUAUGCCGCUACGGUGUGUCGCCGGAUCACCCGGACGUGAAAAACGUGGAGAAGCAGUUCAUGGAUCUCUUCCAGAGCGGGCGCGUGACGUGGGUCGGGAACGUGUCCAUUGGGAAGGAGAUCCCGCUGCAGGCGCUGCUGGCGCACUACGCGGCGGUGGUGUUCGCGACCGGCGCGGACGGGACGAAGAAGCUGCGCAUCCCGGGCGAGGACCUCGGCGGCGUCAUCUCCGCCCACAGCUUUGUGGAGUACUACAACACCCUCCCGUUUCCGUACGGCUCGCCGCGCUUCUGCCCCUUCGAUCUUGAGCGCACGAAGCGCGCCGUCGUCAUCGGGAACGGCAACGUGGCGAUGGACGUGGUGCGGGUGCUCGGCGGGUCGUACAAGUACUUCUCUCCAACCGACAUGAACUGUGUUUGCAUCAAGGAGCUCAUGAAGAAUCGGAUCGAGCACAUCAGCGUGGUGGCCCGCCGCGGCGUGGAGCACUCGGCGUUCGCUACCGCCGAGUUCCGCGAGAUCACCAAGUAUCAGGAAGGCCAUGUGAAAGUCGAGGUGGACCACUUCGACCUCGGCGCGGCGGUGGCGGCAAUGCCGGUCGGCAAGGUCAUGCGUGCGCACAAGCGCAUGAUGGAGCUCGUGCAUCAAUAUGCGCUGACCAGCGAAGAAACAGCCGCCGAAGCGGCGCAGCUGGCAACGGAUGCGCAGGGCGUGCCACUUCCGAGCGCUGCCGCCUCGCCUGCAGAGCCGUCUGCGACGACGACAGCAUCGGAAUACGGAAUGGGCCGCCCACAACACGGCAACCGUGGGUCGUGCUGCCUUCGCUUUCGAUACAACCUCACGCCGAUCGCCAUCCUGCCCAGCCGCCACCGCAAGAACUACGUUGGUGGGGUUCUCUUCAAGAGGACGCGUGGCGAGGCACCGGGCAAGGCAACAGAAGACGAGGGCGAGUACUGCGUCGUGCCGUGCGACCUUGUCAUGACCUCCAUCGGCUACCGCUCUGACAGCAUUGCCGGCGUCCCGUUCGACGACCGCGCCGGUGUCAUCGACAACGAGAAGGGGCGCGUGAAGGGCAUGCCGCGUGUGUACUGCGCCGGCUGGGCCAAGAACGGUGCCAAGGGCAUCAUCCUCCACUCCGUCGUCGAUGCGCAGGAGACGGCAGCGACUAUUCUGGCGGACAUGGAGGCAGGCGUCAUCCCGACGGAGCCGACAGUGCAGCCGGAGGAGGCCGAGGGAACCGCAGCGGCAGUCAGGUCCUCGUCAGCAAGCGCGGCCGAAGCCGAGUCGGUGGAGGUGCUGUCCUUUGAAAGCGGCAACUCGACGCCGCACCGACAGGCGGCCGGCGCUGCCACCACAACGAUGUACGGCAAGUACGGUCUCGUCGACUACUUCGUCACCAAAAAGCUUCAGCCUGUGUCCAUUGCGGGCCUGCAGCGCAUCUUGCACGUCGAGCACCAACGUGGUGUCGACCUCGGCAAGAAGGCAGAGAAGAUCAGCACGGUGCGCGACAUGCUCGACGUGGCCCUCGGUGGUGGCGUGGGCAAGAAGGCUGACGAGCGCAUCCGCGGCAUGACCCCUGCCCGCUCUGACGCGAUGCUGUACCUGAAGGAGCUGCUGGACGACGAUACGGACUUGAGGGCGCUUGCUCGCCAGGUUGCGCGGGAUGUGCCGCACAAGCUUGCCCAGCAGCAUCCGCUCGGCAGCAUCGCGCCUGGACAGCUGUAGGUCUCCAUCUGUCUUUGAUGAGACGUCGAACGCGUUGUUGGGCGCUGUUCGGUGGCCUUCUUCCUUUAUAUCUAUCUCUCGC